rnacentral:rRNA from 1 species
GAUGAACGCUGGCGGCGUGCUUAACACAUGCAAGUCGAACGGGAAACCUUUUAUUGAAGCUUCGGCAGAUUUAGCUGGUUUCUAGUGGCGGACGGGUGAGUAACGCGUGGGUAACCUGCCUUAUACAGGGGGAUAACAGUCAGAAAUGGCUGCUAAUACCGCAUAAGCGCACAGAGCUGCAUGGCUCAGUGUGAAAAACUCCGGUGGUAUAAGAUGGACCCGCGUUGGAUUAGCUGGUUGGUGGGGUAACGGCCCACCAAGGCGACGAUCCAUAGCCGGCCUGAGAGGGGGAACGGCCACAUUGGGACUGAGACACGGCCCAGACUCCUACGGGAGGCAGCAGUGGGGAAUAUUGCACAAUGGGGGAAACCCUGAUGCAGCGACGCCGCGUGAAGGAAGAAGUAUCUCGGUAUGUAAACUUCUAUCAGCAGGGAAGAUAAUGACGGUACCUGACUAAGAAGCCCCGGCUAACUACGUG